rnacentral:rRNA from 1 species
CAGGUCAGCAUACUGCCGUGAAUACGUUCCCGGGCCUUGUACACACCGCCCGUCACACCAUGAGAGUUGGGAAUACCCGAAGCCUGUGAGCCAACAAACGAGGCAGCAGUCGAAGGUAGAAUCAAUGAUUGGGGUGAAGUCGUAACAAGGUAAC